CACAUUCGCAAACUUACGAUUUACGCUCGAAAGUGGAAUUGACACUCAUAAGGUUAUUGAAAUAGUCUCUCGAAGAGUAAUAAUUGCACCGAUGCGACACGACCACCGAUAUCUCGUCGUGCUCGAGGUCUCUAAACCGUUCCCUCUGCUUCGUCACGAUUCCUGUUUUACCUGUUGCGCGUUUACUUCCUGAUUGGUUCACGCUUUGGUCCAUCUGUCGGUCUUGUCUCGUCGAUCGCGUGGUUUAGGUUAGGUUUACUGGUUUUACUUUUUAUUUAUUUUGGAAAACAGGAAAAAAGGAGAGGGAGAGAAACAAGUAUGAGUCGUAGAAUUUGGAGAAAAGAAAUUUUUAGGAAGAGACGAAAGAGAUGAAAGAAAUGUGGGUAAGUAAAUAGUGAUAGGCAGAUGGGUUGAUUGACUGACAGACAGACAGACAGACAAACAGACAGAUGGACAGCAUCGUUGCGCGAAUAUAACGAUCGAAAGAUUGACUCGCACUCGUAAAGUCUCUCUCCUCGUGAACGAAAAGGAAAUCAACAAAGUCACAGUUCUCUUAGGCCAAAGUACGUAUUUCCUACGCGCACAUCGACCGCCGAGAUCGUCGAUGAUACGUACACUGCGAUUACAAAUGAUACACAUACAAGUCUAUCCUCGAGUGGCCCGGAAAACUUAUUCGAUGGUACGAAAGUAAGUUUGAUUCUUCAAUUCCUAAUCGCGAGAAUCGCUACACACGAGCGCGCACGCAUCUGAGAAAAAACGCUAACGACAAGAUUUUCUUUUUUUUUUUUUUUUUUUUUUUUUUUUCGGGGUUUCGAGAAGCUAGCCUAGAAAAAAAAAAGGCGGGCCGAUUUCUGUUCCGAGGUUGCAAGAGGCUGGGCUAUGUACAAAAAAUGGUGUGCACAAUGGAGAGUUCGCGACGACCUCACGUCUCGGUGCGGACACGCGCGUUAAGGCCGAUAACGUGUGCCGCGAUUGUUCCUCUGUGUCGCAGAGAAUCGGCAUCGAACCAACACCGAGAGAGAGAACCAACUGUAUUAUCGACGAUAACAAUCAACAACCAACCAACUAACCAACCAACCAAUCAACCAACCAACCGUAUUCAUUGAAGUGAUCACCCACUCAAUCGACCUCGAGGUGCGAAGCAACCAAGUACAGGAGGAGGAGGAGGAGGAGGAGGCUGUCUGUCGAAUAGAUGGAGCACGUUUCACGUUACAGUAGUAGGCAAGGUUCUCUCCGCAAUUUUCCUUUUCUUUUCAAUCGACGUGACGACGACAACGUCGAUACGAAAAAGAAACUCACUUUUUUUUUCUUUUUUUUUAGGAUCCUCCUCCAUCAACUCCAACCGCCAUCGACGACGACGACGAUCAUGAUCACCACAAGAGAGAAUGCUAUUCGAUUCGAACAAUCAGGCAUUAUCGACUCGUCACAGAGGGAUCCUCCGGGCUUCUUCUUUUUCACUCGUCUCUCUUAAUCGUGUUCAACGAUUAAAUAAUAGAUCGUGGCAACGUAGCUACCUAAACUAACAAUCAGUAUGCUUCUGUACAAUGCAAAGUGAUUUGAAAUAUCGUUAAUUAUGGUUAUUCAUUAUCA